AGAGGGAGAGGCGCACCCGUUUGGAUGAAAACAAUUCAACGGUCUUCCGGAUUGUGUGGAUGAAUUGUGACAUACAGAAAGCGACGGGCGAUUGUCUCCGCCAGUCAAAGUGAUCAUCAAUGACCGUUUACAUUCACAAAAACCACCUCAGGAAAGGGGACAACUCCAAGAAGGCCAGGGCCCCUCUGUUACCUGCGGCUCCACGUCCAGGAUGGAGACCAUGUCCUGCUGGUGGAUCUGCCGGAUGGUCUCAAGCCGGGUGCCGUACAUGGCGUCCUCGUGGCUGCCGUAC